CCUACGGGUGGCAGCAGUGGGGAAUAUUGCGCAAUGGGCGAAAGCCUGACGCAGCGACGCCGCGUGAGGGAUGAAGGUCUUCGGAUCGUAUACCUCUGUCAGCAGGGAAGAACGGUCACUGUGCUAAUCAGCAGUGAAUUGACGGUACCUGCAAAGGAAGCACCGGCUAACUCCGUGCCAGCAGCCGCGGUAAUACGGAGGGUGCGAGCGUUAAUCGGAAUUACUGGGCGUAAAGCGCUCGUAGGCGGUAUGUCAAGUCAAGGGUGAAAUCCCCGCGCUCAACGUGGGAACUGCCUUUGAAACUGGCAAACUGGAGUGUGUGAGAGGAUAGUGGAAUUCCAGGUGUAGGAGUGAAAUGCGUAGAUAUCUGGAGGAACAUCAGUGGCGAAGGCGACUAUCUGGCACAUAACUGACGCUGAGGAGCGAAAGCGUGGGUAGCAAACAGGAUUAGAUACCCGGGUAGUC
rnacentral:rRNA from 1 species